rnacentral:rRNA from 1 species
UACGUAGGGAGCAAGCGUUGUCCGGAUUUAUUGGGCGUAAAGAGCUCGUAGGCGGUUAAGAAAGUCAGGUGUGAAACCUCCAGCUCAACCUGGAGACGCCACUUCGAUACUUCUUUGACUUGAGUUCGGUAGGGUAAGCGGGAAUUCCUGGUGUGAGCGGUGAAAUGACGCAGAUAUCAGGAGGAACACCGAUGGCGAAGGCAGCUUACUGGGCUAUUACUAACACUCAGAGACGAAAGCUAGGGUAGCAAAUGGG